AUACGGAGGGUCCAAGCGUUAUCCGGAAUCAUUGGGUUUAAAGGGUCCGCAGGCGGUCAAUUAAGUCAGAGGUGAAAGCCCAUCGCUCAACGAUGGAACUGCCUUUGAUACUGGUUGACUUGAGUUAUACGGAAGUAGCUAGAAUAAGUAGUGUAGCGGUAAAAUGCAUAGAUAUUACUUAGAAUACCGAUUGCGAAGGCAGUCUACUACGUAUAUACUGACGCUGAGGGACGAAAGCGUGGGGAGCGAACAGGAUUAGAAACCCUAGUAGUCC
rnacentral:rRNA from 1 species